rnacentral:rRNA from 1 species
AGGGGAAUAUUGGACAAUGGGCGCAAGCCUGAUCCAGCCAUGCCGCGUGAGUGAUGAAGGCCCUAGGGUCGUAAAGCUCUUUCACCGGUGAAGAUAAUGACGGUAACCGGAGAAGAAGCACCGGCUAACUUCGUGCCAGCAGCCGCGGUAAUACGAAGGGGGCUAGCGUUGUUCGGAUUUACUGGGCGUAAAGCGCACGUAGGCGGACUUUUAAGUCAGGGGUGAAAUCCCGGGGCUCAACCCCUGAACUGCCUUUGAUACUGGAAGUCUUGAGUAUGGUAGAGGUGAGUUGAAUUCCGAGUGUAGAGGUGAAGUUCGUAGAUUUUCGGAGGAACACCAGUGGCGAAGGCGGCUCACUGGACCCUUACUGACGCUGAGGUGCGAAAGCGUGGGGAGCAAACAGG